rnacentral:rRNA from 1 species
CUUAACACAUGCAAGUCGAACGGUGACGAUGGAGCUUGCUCUGUCUGAUCAGUGGCGAACGGGUGAGUAACACGUGAGUAACCUGCCCCCGACUCUGGAAUAACCGUGGGAAACGACGGCUAAUACCGGAUAUGAGACGCACAGGCAUCUGUGGGUCUGGAAAGAUUUAUCGGUCAGGGAUGGACUCGCGGCCUAUCAGCUUGUUGGUGGGGUAAUGGCCUACCAAGGCGACGACGGGUAGCCGGCCUGAGAGGGCGACCGGCCACACUGGGACUGAGAUACGGCCCAGACUCCUACGGGAGGCAGCAGUGGGGAAUAUUGCACAAUGGGCGCAAGCCUGAUGCAGCGACGCCGCGUGAGGGAUGAAGGCCUUCGGGUUGUAAACCUCUUUCAGCAGGGAAGAAGCGAAAGUGACGGUACCUGCAGAAGAAGCGCCGGCUAACUACGUGCCAGCAGCCGCGGUAAUACGUAGGGCGCAAGCGUUGUCCGGAAUUAUUGGGCGUAAAGAGCUCGUAGGCGGUUUGUCGCGUCUGCUGUGAAAACCUGAGGCUCAACCUCGGGCUUGCAGUGGGUACGGGCAGACUAGAGUGCGGUAGGGGUGACUGGAAUUCCUGGUGUAGCGGUGGAAUGCGCAGAUAUCAGGAGGAACACCGAUGGCGAAGGCAGGUCACUGGGCCGCAACUGACGCUGAGGAGCGAAAGCAUGGGGAGCGAACAGGAUUAGAUACCCUGGUAGUCCAUGCCGUAAACGUUGGGCACUAGGUGUGGGGCUCAUUCCACGAGUUCCGUGCCGCAGCAAACGCAUUAAGUGCCCCGCCUGGGGAGUACGGCCGCAAGGCUAAAACUCAAAGAAAUUGACGGGGGCCCGCACAAGC